AGGACGAACGCUGGCGGCGUGCUUUACACAUGCAAGUCGAGCGGUAAGGCCCUUUCGGGGGUACACGAGCGGCGAACGGGUGAGUAACACGUGAGUAAUCUGCCCUUCACUUGGGGAUAAGCACCGGAAACGGUGUCUAAUACCCGAUACGACCAAUCUCUGCAUGGGGUGUUGGUGGAAAGUUUUUUCGGUGGAGGAUGUGCUCGCGGCCUAUCAGCUUGUUGGUGGGGUAAUGGCCUACCAAGGCUUCGACGGGUAGCCGGCCUGAGAGGGUGACCGGCCACACUGGGACUGAGACACGGCCCAGACUCCUACGGGAGGCAGCAGUGGGGAAUAUUGGACAAUGGGCGGAAGCCUGAUCCAGCAACGCCGCGUGAGGGAUGACGGCCUUCGGGUUGUAAACCUCUUUCAGUACCGACGAAGCGCUGAUGAUGGUGGUGACGGUAGGUACGAGAAGAAGCACCGGCCAACUACGUGCCAGCAGCCGCGGUAA
rnacentral:rRNA from 1 species